rnacentral:misc_RNA from 1 species
GAAAAAUGAUCUAAAAUUUAUUUCAUUACAUUACAGUAACAUUUCAUUAUUCUAUCAAAAUAUAUACGAAGUAUUCAAAUUUCAAGCUAAAGCACCGAGUACAUGCCACCCUUGUUGUGAAAUGGUCUCAUCAUAUAUGUGCUUGUAAAAAGGCUUAAUGAAUCAGUUUCUUUCAUGAAUAAGUAGUCAUUUCAGGUUUUUCUUGCAUGAUUCUAGUCUACCUA